CACUCCUACGGGAGGCAGCAGUGGGGAAUUUUGGACAAUGGGCGAAAGCCUGAUCCAGCCAUGCCGCGUGCAGGAUGAAGGCCUUCGGGUUGUAAACUGCUUUUGUACGGAACGAAACGGCCUUUUCUAAUAAAGAGGGCUAAUGACGGUACCGUAAGAAUAAGCACCGGCUAACUACGUGCCAGCAGCCGCGGUAAUACGUAGGGUGCAAGCGUUAAUCGGAAUUACUGGGCGUAAAGCGUGCGCAGGCGGUUAUGUAAGACAGUUGUGAAAUCCCCGGGCUCAACCUGGGAACUGCAUCGGUGACUGCAUAGCUAGAGUACGGUAGAGGGGGAUGGAAUUCCGCGUGUAGCAGUGAAAUGCGUAGAUAUGCGGAGGAACACCGAUGGCGAAGGCAAUCCCCUGGACCUGUACUGACGCUCAUGCACGAAAGCGUGGGGAGCAAACAGGAUUAGAUACCCCUGUAGUCCCAUGAU
rnacentral:rRNA from 1 species